GCCAUGCAUGUCUAAGUACAUGCCGUAUUAAGGCGAAACCGCGAAUGGCUCAUUAAAUCAGUCAUGGUUCCUUGGAUCGUACCUUACUACUUGGAUAACUGUGGCAAUUCUAGAGCUAAUACAUGCAGCAGAGCUCCGACCUUCGGGGACGAGCGCUUUUAUUAGACCAAAACCAAUCGGACCUCGUGUCCGUCCUUUGUGGUGACUCUGUAUAACUUUGGGCUGAUCGCACGGGCCUGUCCCGGCGACGUAUCUUUCAAGUGUCUGCCUUAUCAACUUUCGAUGGUAGGUUACGCGCCUACCAUGGUCGUAACGGGUAACGGGGAAUCAGGGUUCGAUUCCGGAGAGGGAGCCUGAGAAACGGCUACCACAUCCAAGGAAGGCAGCAGGCGCGCAAAUUACCCACUCCCAGAACGGGGAGGUAGUGACGAAAAAUAACAAUACGGGACUCUUUUGAGACCCCGUAAUUGGAAUGAGUACACUCUAAAUCCUUUAACGAGGAUCCAUUGGAGGGUAAGUCUGGUGCCAGCAACCGCGGUAAUUCCAGCUCCAAUAGCGUAUAUUAAAGUUGUUGCGGUUAAAAAGCUCGUAGUUGGAUCUCAGUUCCAGACGGGUGGUCCGCCUACCGGUGGUUACUGCCUGUUCUGAACAGUCAGCCGGUUUCUCUUGAUGAUCUUCACCGGUUGUCUUGGGUGACCGGCAAGUUUACUUUGAAAAAAUUAGAGUGCUCAAAGCAGGCGUGACGCCUGAAUAAUGGUGCAUGGAAUAAUGGAAUAGGACCUCGGUUCUAUUUUGUUGGUUUUCGGAACACGAGGUAAUGAUUAAGAGGGACAGACGGGGGCAUUCGUAUUGCGACGCUAGAGGUGAAAUUCUUGGACCGUCGCAAGACGAACUACUGCGAAAGCAUUUGCCAAGAAUGUUUCCAUUAAUCAAGAACGAAAGUUAGAGGUUCGAAGGCGAUCAGAUACCGCCCUAGUUCUAACCAUAAACGAUGCCAGCCAGCGAUCCGGCUGUGU
rnacentral:rRNA from 1 species